CGGAUAUUUAAUGGAUGUGUAAACAACAAUUUUUUUGGACCAAUUAUAAAGCGUUAUGUGUUAUGUAAUAGGCCCAUUUUGCCCAGGCCCAUACCAAAACUAAAAUAAAAAAUGCAAAACAAAAUAACAAAAUAAAAUCCAAUAAUAAGUGUUCAUAGUCCAUUUACAACAACCCAACAACUAAACCAAGCCCAAAUAAACCCUAACACAAAUUGGCCCAAAAUAUAAAAUUUCUAGAAAACCCUAGCACCAUCCUUCGCGCCGCAACAACUUUCAGCAGCCUCCAGCAUCGCUGUUGCCUCCGUGCCAGCCCCAUGUGUGCCUUCUUCGUCGUUGCCACGUGCGCCAUCAUCCAACUGGCUCCGUUCGUACCUGCAACAAAAUAACAACCCACAACAGACUGACAACAAAAGGAAAAUUGCUUGUAUUUUUAUUAUGAUUAUUAUUCUUUUUUUUUCUUUAUUCUGCUAUGAAAAGCCAGAAAAACGAUGUAAAUGGGAUCUUUUUUCAGAGAAAUACGAAACCAAACGCAUACAAAUCUAUAUAGAAAACAACAGUUUUCAAGUGGUAAUUUUAAAUCUCAUUUUUCUUUUCAUUUUGCUUUUAUCUUUUUGAUUUUUGUUAUUGUAUGAGUAAAAAAAUAAAAAUAAAUGAAAGGGAAGAUACUUAUCUCGAUAAAGGCCCUCGAAUCCUUGUUUGCUUCGUAGAAAUCGGAGCUCAAAUAAGGAUUGUGAGGUUUAAGAAUAGCAAAACUCUCGGAUUCGUGGUCGAACAGGGCCAGAUUAGGACCGUCUGCCGAAUAUGAUGGCGGAGUGACGGAUAGGCGAAGAACUAUCUGAUUCGGCCGAAUAUGAGAGAUAUGAAGCUUAGAUUUUUUGUUUUGAUUUUGAUUAAAGUGAUU
rnacentral:lncRNA from 1 species